rnacentral:rRNA from 1 species
ACGCUCGACACCUACGGGAGGCAGCAGUGGGGAAUAUUGCACAAUGGAGGAAACUCUGAUGCAGCGACGCCGCGUGAGGGAAGAAGGUCUUCGGAUUGUAAACCUCUGUUGUCAGGGACGAUGAUGACGGUACCUGACGAGGAAGCCACGGCUAACUACGUGCCAGCAGCAGCGGUAAUCUGAGCGGGCUGGCAAGGC